rnacentral:sRNA from 1 species
CCCUAGCCCUGAUAGGAGCGGUAUCCUUUUUCUUGCUCCUUUAGCAAGGAAAAGAUAAAGCGGAUAGCAGGAUUGGCU